rnacentral:rRNA from 1 species
AGAGUUUGAUCAUGGCUCAGAUUGAACGCUGGCGGUAUGCCUUACACAUGCAAGUCGAACGGUAGAGGGGCAACCCUUGAGAGUGGCGAACGGGUGAGUAAUACAUCGGAACGUGCCCAGUCGUGGGGGAUAACGUAGCGAAAGCUACGCUAAUACCGCAUACGACCCGAGGGUGAAAGCGGGGGACUCGCAAGAGCCUCGCGCGAUUGGAGCGGCCGAUGGCAGAUUAGGUAGUUGGUGGGGUAAAGGCCCACCAAGCCUGCGAUCUGUAGCUGGUCUGAGAGGACGACCAGCCACACUGGGACUGAGACACGGCCCAGACUCCUACGGGAGGCAGCAGUGGGGAAUUUUGGACAAUGGGCGAAAGCCUGAUCCAGCCAUACCGCGUGCGGGAAGAAGGCCUUCGGGUUGUAAACCGCUUUUGUCAGGGAAGAAAUCCUUUGGGUUAAUACCUCGGAGGGAUGACGGUACCUGAAGAAUAAGCACCGGCUAACUACGUGCCAGCAGCCGCGGUAAUACGUAGGGUGCAAGCGUUAAUCGGAAUUACUGGGCGUAAAGCGUGCG